AUCUUUUUUUUUCCUGUUAAAAAUAGAUAUAGAAGAUCACCACCCACUUUUCUCUUCCUCUUGCUUUAGAUGUAGAUGUGAUGUCUGGAACUCAUGCAGCUAUCUUGCAACGACCAGGAUGAGGCUAAGAGAAUAGGAGAGAUCCUUGCUCAAACAGGCUGAACUCGAGUAUUUCGGGCACUAAGAAGGAAGGACAAAGAUCCCUGGAGAACUCUCCUGUGGUGUCCUUGUUUUGAGUAGCAAUGGAGGGAACGACAGUCCUUUGCACGAUGUGGUGCGGAAGUUGUUCAGGCGCUGUGGUGAGACAUUCUCAAUCGUCACCUCAUUUAAUCCUCACAGCAGCUCUGGAGAAUGAGUAGCAUUGUCCUCGUAAUUUUUCCUUAUGAGGAAUGGAGUCUGAAAGAAGCUAAGUAUCUCAUUCCAGGUAAUACCAUAAUGGGGCCAGAAUUCAAAUCCAAGAGUCUGAGAUCUUAAUCACGUCACCAUUUUAUACCUUUCCCAAUGAAUGUUUCACUGGUCCCUGAAGCUGUCUGUGGAGAGCAGAGUGACACUGUCUCAUGUGGGUGUCUAGUCCCUGACCUGCAAUCCAGUUUCCCUGGAAGGUGCCAAGUGUGGGGUGCCUGAUCCAUCUUUAGGAGCCUCCUGGUGGGUGCUAACAGUCAUGAGAGGUCUCCUUCUGUGGGAUAAUAAUGACUACACUUGGCAUGUUCCCCAGUCUGUAGAAUGAGCUCACCAGGUGACUGCUGUUCCUCCUUUACAGAUGGCAUAAUUCAGGUUGUGACAGACAUGUGGAUCAUGCAAGCUGGCGUGAAUUGGCAGCCACGUUGGACUGACCAUAACACCUGCCUUCUUCUCUUUAAUUCAUUUCUCACUUUCUAAUCCACCUCAAAUCAGUUAAACCCUUGAAAAGAAGCCUAGCAAGUUGAACCAUGAAUCAUCAUGGAUCCAGAAUGUUACCUCUUUGGCCAUCCCUGUCUCCUCAUGCGUGCAGGACUUACCUGUGCUGCUCCAGAAGCUGGGAUUGCCACAGAACAGAGACUGCAUAAGCUAAACUCUUCUAGGAACCAAAGCAGAAGCUCAUCAAGAGAGUUACCCCAUUUUUCAGACGUGGAUUGUUGUCUGAGAGUGUUUAGGAGGUAAAACAAGUGCAAGUUGCCUCACAAGGUCAAUUGAUAGUUAUAGCUGGUGGCAGAGAAUCAGAUAAUGUUGCUUUUCCUUUGAAUUGUACUUUUCUUCCAACUGUCCCGCAUGGUUCACAAUCUACAGUUGUGGGGUGAUCUCAUUUGUAAUUCCAAUACAUGAUGAAGUUUGUAUUGUUAUCUGCUGAUCCACAGAAAAAGCAAAUUAACUGAAGGCCUAAUAAAAGGUAACUUGGCUGGGUGUGGUGGCUCAUCCCUAUAAUCCCAGCACUUUGGGAGGCCAAGGUGGGAGGAUUGCUUGAGUCCAGGAGUUUGAGACCAGCCUGGGCAACCUAGGGAGAUUCUGUCUCUACAAAAAUUAAAAAAAAAAAGAAGCCAGGCAUGGUGUCAUGUACCUGUGGUCCCAGCUACUCGAGAGGUGGGAGCAUUGCUUGAGCCCAGGAGGUCGAGGCUACAGUGAGCUAUGAUUGUACGACUGAACUCCAGCCUGGGCAACAGAGUAAGACCCUGUUUCAAAAAAAAAAAAAGAAAAAAGGCAAUUCAAGCUACACAUAGUGGCUCCCUUCCAAAGAAUAUGUUAUGAAAAGAGGGAAAAAAUGAGAGUGGGGAAACCUGAAAACUCUGCCUCAAGGCCAACAUCCAUGGUGAUAAGCCAUGCUGGUAGUGCGUACCCUUGAUAUGAUGUCAUGAGAAU
ensembl:lincRNA